CUUUCGCAGAGAGAUAUGGUAGAUGGGCUAGAAGAGCAUGACAUAUACUGUUGUGUCGAUAUUUUCUCCUCGGACCUUGAAAAUUUAUGGUGGGGACACGCAAACUUCUCAACAGGCCGUACCAAUAUCCGCAGCUGGUCUCCAAGGUGAAGAGUCUCUAGUCGAUAGAAUAAUGUAGGUAAGGGAAGUCGGCAAAUUAGAUCCGUAACUUCGGGAUAAGGAUUGGCUCUGAAGAUUGAGAUAGUCGGGCUUGAUUGGGAAACAAUAACAUGGUUUAUGUGCUCGUUCUGGGUAAAUAGAGUUUCUAGCAUUUAUGUUAGUUACUUGUUCCCCGGAUAGUUUAGUUACGUAGCCAAUUGUGGAACUUUCUUGCUAAAAUUUUUAAGAAUACUAUUUGGGUUAAACCAAUUAGUUCUUAUCAAUUAUAACGAUUAUCAAUUAACAAUCAAUUCAGAACUGGCACGGACUUGGGGAAUCCGACUGUCUAAUUAAAACAAAGCAUUGUGAUGGCCCUAGCGGGUGUUGACACAAUGUGAUUUCUGCCCAGUGCUCUGAAUGUCAAAGUGAAGAAAUUCAAGUAAGCGCGGGUCAACGGCGGGAGUAACUAUGACUCUCUUAAGGUAGCCAAAUGCCUCGUCAUCUAAUUAAUGACCCGCAUGAAUGGAUUAACGAAAUUCCUACUGUCCCUAACUACUAUCUAACGAAACCACACCCAAAGGAACAGGCUUGGAAUAAUUAACGGGGAAAGAAAACCUUUUUAAGCUUGACCCAACCCGGCCAUGUAAGGAAAACAAAAAAGGGUAAAAUAAGUGGGAAAAAUUAAACCU
rnacentral:ncRNA from 1 species